rnacentral:rRNA from 1 species
UGGGGAAUAUUGGACAAUGGGCGCAAGCCUGAUCCAGCCAUGCCGCGUGAGUGAUGAAGGCCCUAGGGUUGUAAAGCUCUUUCACCGGUGAAGAUAAUGACGGUAACCGGAGAAGAAGCCCCGGCUAACUUCGUGCCAGCAGCCGCGGUAAUACGAAGGGGGCUAGCGUUGUUCGGAUUUACUGGGCGUAAAGCACACGUAGGCGGACUUUUAAGUCAGGGGUGAAAUCCCGGGGCUCAACCCCGGAACUGCCUUUGAUACUGGAAGUCUUGAGUAUGGUAGAGGUGAGUGGAAUUCCGAGUGUAGAAGUGAAAUUCGUAGAUAUUCGGAGGAACACCAGUGGCGAAGGCGGCUCACUGGACCAUUACUGACGCUGAGGUGCGAAAGCGUGGGGAGCAAACAGG